GUCGGCUGGCACCAGCUCCCUGCAGGAAGAGUGGAGAGGUUGUUCCCGGCGGGGAGCGGGUACCGGCCGCAUCCCGGCCGGACCAGGGAGCCUGGGCGCCGGCAGUUCGGCUGCUGGUGCGCCGCUCUUUCGGGGGCGCGAGGAAGGAAUUGGAGGGGUCCGCCCCGCGCCUGGGUCCUCUCUGAGUCUCGCCUCAUUCGAGGCACGGGUUUUUCUACAAAAGGAAUGUAUGGUUUGUGGUUGCGCUAGCUCAUCACUUCAAAGAACCAAAGAAGGAAAAGAGAGGGGGCGGGAAGAAAGAUGAGCGAGCUGAGGGGCAGAGAGGAGGAGUAAAGAGAGGCCGGGCAGAGGAGCUCCUUGCAGUUUCGGGCUGUGAGAGCCGAAGCUCACUGAGAUGUGACGCUUCCUGUUGGGUUGAGAACGCACGAAGUCUACGAUGCUUAGACAAAAAAAUCUCAGAAACUAAGAAAUCAUUCGAAUCCAGUUCCUUGUUUAUUCACAAUUAAAACCUUAGUGAUAAAACAGAGGCGACGCGCGGACAGCUCCUGGAAGCAGAAACACGAUUGGGGUAAAAUCCGGCAGCUAUCAGGACGGGAAGGGAUGCUGCCCUUCUUUGCUUUUCUGGUCUUAUUUUAUUUUAUUUUAUUUUUAUUUUGUCGCGUGUGCUUUCGGUGUCGCAGUGAAGUCAUAGCCAAAUACAAUGUUAGGAAGAUUUUCCUCUAUGUUUUCUCCUAAGAGUUUUAUAAUUUAAACUCUUAGACCUUUAAUCCAUUUUGAGUUAAUUUUCAUAUGUGGUAUGAGUCCACAUUUACUCUUUUUCAUGUGGAUAUCCAGUUUUCUUAGUACCAUUUGUUGAAAAGACAUUCUGUGCCCGUUUUUAAGACAUUGACCUGAGGUUCGGAGAUUGUAAAUCAUUUGCCAAGAAAGGCCAUGCAGUUUGGGAGCAGCAGUGCCUGGGGCUACAGAAGACCCUUGCUUCUGGGACACCCUCUAAUGUCAUGCUUUGCAAGGUUUUGCUCUGUCCCUCUUUGAGCACCUGCUAGAAGCAGGUAAAAGAACUGGUAGUUUUGCUGUUUUAACUUAAAAAAAGAAUGAUUUUAGACUUACAGAAAAGUUGCAAAGGUAAUAAAGGGAGUUCCCACAUACCCAUCACCCAUAUUGCCUUAUGUUAACAGCUUAUAUAACCAAUGAAACUAAAAACUUAACAGUGAUACGAAACUAUUAACUGUGUUACUGAUUUUAUUUUAAUUUCACCAACUGUUCCACUAAUGUCCGUUUUCUAUUCCAGGACCCAAUUCAGGAUACCAUAUUGCAGUUAGUUUUCCUGUGUUCUUAGCCUCCUCUAAUCUGUGACAGUUUCUCAGUCAGUUGUCUUCAAAAACCUUGACACUUUUGAACAGUACUGGUUUCUGUAUACUAUCCCUCAGUUUGGGUUUGUCUGAUGUUUUCUCAUGAUUGGACUGAAGCUGUGGAUGUUUAGGAAGAAUGCUACAGAGAUUAUGUGCCUUUCUCAUUGCCUGGUAUCUGUGGGUACACGGUAUCAACAUGACCUAUCACUGAUCACUGGGGAACUGAUCAUUUGUUGUUUCUUGUCUUUUAAACCUAAGCCACUGCAAUAGUUUCUGAAAUUCCUGUUCUGGGGAUGCUACCAGAUUUCUGCUUCAAUAUCAUUUCCAUGCCAUUUGUUUUCAUAUACAUCUAAAAUGGCCUUUGAUUGUUUAUUGCACCAAGUUCAAGCUUCGCAAACUGGCAUUUUGAAGUCUCAUUUUAUCCAGCCAACUUUACCUUCCACUGUUCCUCACACAUUCCCUUUGUCCUCAUUUCUUCUCUCCAAACCACCAUUUCCAGUCUGUCCUUAGGCCAAGGCCCGGGGUUCCUUUAAUUUCUUGUUCAAGUCAACAUGAAGUUCCUUUGACUUCUUCACACAGCAGUGAGUUUUUCUCUUUUCUAAAUUUCUGGUCAGUUCCUACAAUCUCACUUUAAUGUGGUUUUACUUUUUUUCUCCAGGUGUUUAAUGUGUGUUUUUGGUCUUCUCCCCAAGCAAUGGAAACAGAGUUGCUGCUUCAGUGGUAGUAGUACUUGCAAUUCAAGUAACACUAACUUAAAAUCUACUUUAGACACAGUGGGCGAUAGUAUGAAAGAACCAAGAAGGAUUUCGGCUGUCCUGGAGCUGAUAAUGCUGCAAACAAGGUGAGGGUGCAUACAGUAAGUAGCUGCAAAGCCAUGAGGAUCAUAGAAAAUUUCCCAAGUCCAUGAGGAAAGAAAAAUAUACAGGCAAAAAUUUACAUACAAAUCAGGGCUUUAUUUAUUGUUUCAUCAGUUGAUUAGACUUAAGAAAGUAAUGAAGAAAAUGUCAAAAUAAUGCAGAAUAAACUUAAAAGUGUGUGGUGCUAAUAUCCAUUACAUUGGGAAUAGCCCCCCAAAUUGAGAAAAUAUUAUUUCAGUACAUAUUAGAAAACUAUUUUCUGACUCAGGAAAAAUCUCACUCACAUCAUUGAUGAACAAUAUAUCUAGUGCUAAAACUAGGUUUUAAUUUAAUGACUAUAGCCUGUACUACACUCAUUAUAUAAUAGGGUGACAAAUACUUUAAUAAUAGAUUACAUAUUACAUCCAAUAACAAUACGUUAUUGAUUUAUUAGAAAAUAAAUGGGUAUAUAACUCCAUUUGUCAAAUCAGUUCAGCCGGAACCAUAGGUUGGCUAUGGAUUGCAAAAGUUCUGCAAAAAUCAAUGAAAGCAGUCUGUAGGAACCAAUAGUAAAAUUUACAAAUAGUAAAUUGUGUGUAACAAUCUUUUAUAUCAGAAAAAUUUAUAAUAAAUAUGUAUGUAUAUAAAUGCAUGCGUUUUUCUUUAAGAGUCAGUUGUUGAACAUUUACCAGCACACCACUGGAGCUAUCUAAUGGAUAAUAUAUAUUUAAGUUUCUUUUGUGAUGAGAACCUAUUUUAUAUCUUAUCACAAAGUCUUUAAUAAAAUAUCAAUUUUUCUUUAAAUUUGCUGAGAUAGAUUUAUUUAGGUGGGCUGAAUUAAAAAUCUGAGACCUGCUUUUAGGUGAAUGCGGGGUGAAAACAGGG
rnacentral:lncRNA from 1 species